rnacentral:lncRNA from 1 species
GCUGAACGUGAGGCAUCGAUCGGUCGACAUUGUGUUGCCAGACCUACCCUGUUCCUCUCUCCUCCUUCGUCCCCAAGGCUCUGAAUCCCCUGCAGUUUCCUCUGCAGAACUCUGCAUCCGAGUGUAACUGAAGAACUCUGCAUCCAAGUGUAAUCUGAAGAACUCUGCAUCCGAGUAUAAGUGUGUAACCGAUACAUUUCUUGCACCACUAUGCAGUCUAUGCUAGUGCGUGGCCAAGAUGGCCGUCGGUCCAACACGAUCUACCUACAGCGCCAGUGCACGACCAGUUCAUCGCCGGAAUUAAUCAACAUGAUCGUUGGACGUGUGCCUUAUGA